rnacentral:rRNA from 1 species
UACGUAGGGUGCGAGCGUUAAUCGGAAUUACUGGGCGUAAAGGGUGCGCAGGCGGUUAUAUAAGACAGAUGUGAAAUCCCCGGGCUCAACCUGGGAACUGCGUUUGUGACUGUAUGACUAGAGUACGGUAGAGAGGGGUGGGAAUUCCUGGUGUAGCAGUGAAAUGCGUAGAUAUCAGGAGGAACAUCGAUGGCGAAGGCAGCCCCUUGGACCUGUACUGACGCUCAUGCACGAAAGCGUGGGGAGCAAACAGG